rnacentral:lncRNA from 1 species
UCUUUACAACAAACGUGACAUCUAUCAUGUUUACCUCCAGUGCGUAUUCUCAUGUGUCUCUAAGCCACGAAGUUUACAUUACUCUUUACCCCACAAGCGACAUUUGUAAGGUUUAUCUCCAGUGUGUAUUCUCAUAUGUCUCUAAGCCACGACGUUCGCAUAACUCUUUACCCCACACGCGACAUUUAAAAGGUUCAUCUCCAGUGUGUAUUCUCAUAUGUCUCUAAGCCACGACGUUCGCAUAACUCUUUACCCCACACGCGACAUUUAUAAGCUUCAUCUCCAAUGCGUAUUCUCAUGUGUCUCUAAGCCACGAAGUUUACAUUACUCUUUACCUCACACGUGACAUGUAUUUAAGGUUUAUCUCCAGUGUGUAUUCUCAUGUGUCUCUAAGCCACGAAAUUUCCACUCUUUACCUCACACGUGACAUGUAUUUAAGGUUUAUCUCUAGUGUGUAUUCUCAUGUGUCUCUAAGCAACGAAUUUUACACUCUUUACCUCACACGUGACAUGUAUUUAAGGUUUAUCUCCAGUGUGUAUUCUCAUGUGUCUCUAAGCCACAAAGUUUUCAUUACUCUUUACCACACACGUGACAUUUAAAAGGUUCAUCUCCAGUGUGUAUUCUCAUGUGUCUCUAAGCCACAAAGUUUUCAUUACUCUUUACCCCACACGUGACAUUUAAAAGGUUCAUCUCCAGUGUGUAUUAUCAUGUGUCUUCAAGCCACGAUGUUCGCAUAACUCUUUACCCCACACGUGACAUUUAUAAGGUUCAUCUCCAGUGUGUAUUAUCAUGUGUCUUCAAGCCACGAUGUUCGCGUAACUCUUUACCCCACACGUGACAUAUAUUAAAGAUUUAUCUCCGGUGUGUUUCAAAGCCACGACGUUCGUUCGUAUUACUCUUUACCCCAAACGUGAUAUUUAUAAGGUUCAUCUCCAGUGUGUGUUCUCAUGUGUUUCUCUAAUAGUCCGGCGGCUUUGUAAAAAAUUGUGCACAUCCUGUUACAAGCAUGAAAUUUGGCAUAGACCUUCCUCAACUAUUACUCUUUUAUUUCAGAUAGGGAGGCAUUUGAAAAAAAUGUCUCACUUCCGGUAAAAUCCAAAAUGGCGGACGUUAUACUUAAAUCAGCCCAAUAUCGAAGACUAGCGUGUAAAAAUG